rnacentral:rRNA from 1 species
GAUGAACGCUAGCGGCAGGCCUAAUACAUGCAAGUCGAACGGUGUCUUCGGACAUAGUGGCGCACGGGUGCGUAACACGUAUGCAACCUACCUUACAUUGGGGGAUAGCCUUUCGAAAGGGAGAUUAAUACCGCAUAAGACAGUAGCUGGGCAUCCAGCAGCUGUUAAAGAUUUAUCGAUGUAAGCUGGGCAUGCGUCCAAUUAGCUGGUUGGUGAGGUAACGGCUCACCAAGGCAAUGAUUGGUAGGGGAACUGAGAGGUCAAUCCCCCACACGGGCACUAGACUACGGCCCAGACUCCUGCGUGAGGCAGCAGUGGGGAAUAUUGGGCAAUGGACGCAAGUCUGACCAAGCCAUGCCGCGUGCAGGAUGAAGGCGUUAUGCGUUGUAAACUGCUUUUAUACAGGAAGAAACGACUCUUGCGAGAGGCAUUGACGGUACUGUAUGAAUAAGCACCGGCUAACUCCGUGCCAGCCGCCGCGGUAACAC